rnacentral:tRNA from 1 species
GCGAUCGUGGCGAAGGGGUUAACGCACCGGAUUGUGGUUCCGGCACUCGUGGGUUCGAAACCCAUCGGUCGCCCCA